AUAACGGAGGAAAAGAAACCAACUGGGAUUACCUUAGUAACGGCGAGUGAAGCGGUAAAAGCUCAAAUUUGAAAUCUGGUACUUUCAGUGCCCGAGUUGUAAUUUGUAGAAUUUGUCUUUGAUUAGGUCCUUGUCUAUGUUCCUUGGAACAGGACGUCAUAGAGGGUGAGAAUCCCGUUUGGCGAGGAUACCUUUUCUCUGUAAGACUUUUUCGAAGAGUCGAGUUGUUUGGGAAUGCAGCUCAAAGUGGGUGGUAAAUUCCAUCUAAAGCUAAAUAUUGGCGAGAGACCGAUAGCGAACAAGUACAGUGAUGGAAAGAUGAAAAGAACUUUGAAAAGAGAGUGAAAAAGUACGUGAAAUUGUUGAAAGGGAAGGGCAUUUGAUCAGACAUGGUGUUUUUUGCAUGCACUCGCCUCUCGUGGGCUUGGGCCUCUCAAAAAUUUCACUGGGCCAACAUCAAUUCUGGCAGCAGGAUAAAUCAUUAAGAAUGUAGCUACUUCGGUAGUGUUAUAGCUUUUUGGAAUACUGUUAGCCGGGAUUGAGGACUGCGCUUCGGCAAGGAUGUUGGCAUAAUGGUUAAAUGCCGCCCGUCUUGAACCACCGGAAAC
rnacentral:rRNA from 1 species